rnacentral:rRNA from 1 species
GGGAAAGGUGAAAAGCAACCAUGAAAAAUGGGUUGAAACAGUAGUGAAAGCGCUACCGGGAUAAGGGCUAUCGGGUGCUGGGGCUCUUUGGGUGUGCUUUAGUGCUACCCUCCGAGACGGCCCGCGAGGGUUGAUGUUGGGGCGAUAGACGCACUGCAGGAAUUCAGCUGCCUUYGGGCAGUGUUGUAGCCUGCGGUUGCUGAUCCUCCUGCGACCUUGUGUGAUUGCGGGUCUUGCGACCGUUAGCCGCCCGUCUUGAAACACGGACCAAGGAGUGCACCUUGCAUGCGAGUCGAAGGGAUUUGAAACCUGGAGGCGUAGCGAACGCGACGAUGGGGAAUGUCCUUGUGGCAGACACCCGCACCCGCCUUGUGCGAGGUAGAGCAUGUACGGUGCGACCCGAAAGAUGGUGAACUAUGCCCGGGUAAGGUGAAGCCAGUGGAAACGCUGGUGGAGGCCUGUAGCGAUUCUGACGUGCAAAUCGAUCGCGUAACCUGGGUAUAGGGGCGAAAGACCUAUCGAACCGUCUAAUGGCUGGUUCCCUCCGAAGUUUCCCUCAGGAUAGCUGCGUUCCUAAUGAGAGUCAGUUGCAUUGCGGUAGAGCGAAUGAUUAGGUGUCUCGGGGCCAUCAUGGCCUCGGCUCAUUCUCAAACUCCGAAUUGCGUGCGAUCCCGUUGCUGUGACCUUGUGGCACGCCGGGAAAAUGACAGGACGCAAGUGGGCUGGUUUUGGUAAGC